CCUACGGGAGGCAGCAGUGGGGAAUUUUGGACAAUGGGCGCAAGCCUGAUCCAGCCAUGCCGCGUGCGGGAGGAAGGCCUUCGGGUUGUAAACCGCUUUUGUUCGGGAAGAAAUCGACUGGGUUAAUACUCUGGUCGGAUGACGGUACCGGAAGAAUAAGCACCGGCUAACUACGUGCCAGCAGCCGCGGUAAUACGUAGGGUGCGAGCGUUAAUCGGAAUUACUGGGCGUAAAGCGUGCGCAGGCGGUUUCGCAAGUCAGAUGUGAAAGCCCCGGGCUCAACCUGGGAACUGCAUUUGAAACUACGAGGCUAGAGUGUGUCAGAGGGGGGUAGAAUUCCACGUGUAGCAGUGAAAUGCGUAGAGAUGUGGAGGAAUACCGAUGGCGAAGGCAGCCCCCUGGGAUAACACUGACGCUCAUGCACGAAAGCGUGGGGAGCAAACAGGAUUAGAUACCCUGGUAGUCCACGCCCUAAACGAUGUCAACUAGUUGUCGGAGAAGANAUNUUGUACGACANNACGCGUGAGUAGACGCCGNGGAGGAGGUCGCGAAGAGUAAACUUACAAGUAAGUUAGAGGCGNGNGAGNGCGACGGACGACGACGAGGGAGGAGG
rnacentral:rRNA from 1 species